AUGAACGCUGGCGGCGUGCCUAAUACAUGCAAGUCGAGCGCACAGAUGAGGAGCUUGCUCCUCUGACGUUAGCGGCGGACGGGUGAGUAACACGUGGAUAACCUACCUAUAAGACUGGGAUAACUUCGGGAAACCGGAGCUAAUACCGGAUAAUAUAUUGAACCGCAUGGUUCAAAAGUGAAAGACGGUUUUGCUGUCACUUAUAGAUGGAUCCGCGCCGCAUUAGCUAGUUGGUAAGGUAACGGCUUACCAAGGCAACGAUGCGUAGCCGACCUGAGAGGGUGAUCGGCCACACUGGAACUGAGACACGGUCCAGACUCCUACGGGAGGCAGCAGUAGGGAAUCUUCCGCAAUGGGCGAAAGCCUGACGGAGCAACGCCGCGUGAGUGAUGAAGGUCUUCGGAUCGUAAAACUCUGUUAUUAGGGAAGAACAAAUGUGUAAGUAACUAUGCACGUCUUGACGGUACCUAAUCAGAAAGCCACGGCUAACUACGUG
rnacentral:rRNA from 1 species